AAACGGCGGCCGUAACUAUAACGGUCCUAAGGUAGCGAAAUUCCUUGUCGGGUAAGUUCCGACCUGCACGAAUGGUGUAACGAUCUGGGCACUGUCUCAACCAUGAGCUCUGUGAAAUUGUAGUAUCGGUGAAGAUGCCGAUUACCCGCAAUGGGACGAAAAGACCCUGUGAACCUUUACUAUAACUUCGUAUUGACUUUGAGUAAGUAAUGUGUAGGAUAGGUGGGAGACUAUGAAGCAGGCACGCUAGUGUUUGUGGAGUCAACGUUGAAAUACCACCCUUUACUUACUUGGAGCCUAACUUCUAAUAGAAGGACAUUGCGUGGUGGGUAGUUUGACUGGGGUGGUCGCCUCCAAAAGAGUAACGGAGGCUUUCAAAGGUACCCUCAGCACGCUUGGUAACCGUGCG
rnacentral:rRNA from 2 species